rnacentral:rRNA from 1 species
GUGGGGAAUCUUCCGCAAUGGACGAAAGUCUGACGGAGCAACGCCGCGUGAGUGAAGAAGGUUUUCGGAUCGUAAAGCUCUUUCGUUAGGGACGAACGUGCUCUUUGUGAAUAAUGAGGAGUAAUGACGGUACCUAAAUAAGAAGCCACGGCUAACUACGUGCCAGCAGCCGCGGUAAUACGUAGGUGGCAAGCGUUGUCCGGAAUUAUUGGGCGUAAAGCGCGCGCAGGCGGGAUAUCAAGUCUGUCGUAAAAGUGCGAGGCUCAACCUCGUGAGGGGACAGAAACUGGUAUUCUUGAGUGUCGGAGAGGAAAGUGGAAUUCCAAGUGUAGCGGUGAAAUGCGUAGAGAUUUGGAAGAACACCAGUGGCGAAGGCGACUUUCUGGACGAUGUCUGACGCUGAGGCGCGAAAGCUAGGGGAGCGAACGGGAUUAGAUACCCUUGUAAUCC